rnacentral:tRNA from 1 species
GGGCGCAUAGCUCAGUUGGUAGAGCGCCACGUCGACAUCGUGGAGGUCACUGGUUCGAGCCCAGUUGUGCCCA